rnacentral:rRNA from 1 species
GCCUCAGUAACGGCGAGUGAAGCGGCAACAGCUCAAAUUUGAAAUCUGGCCCUAGGCCCGAGUUGUAAUUUGCAGAGGAUGCUUUUGGUGCGGUGCCUUCCAAGUUCCCUAGAACGGGACGCCAGAGAGGGUGAGAGCCCCGUACAGUUGGACACCAAGCCUUUGUAAAGCUCCUUCGACGAGUCGAGUAGUUUGGGAAUGCUGCUCAAAAUGGGAGGUAUAUUUCUUCUAAAGCUAAAUACCGGCCAGAGACCGAUAGCGCACAAGUAGAGUGAUCGAAAGAUGAAAAGCACUUUGAAAAGAGGGUUAAACAGCACGUGAAAUUGUUAAAAGGGAAGCGCUUGUGACCAGACUUGCGUCCGGUGAAUCACCCAGCUCUCGCGGCUGGGGCACUUCGCCGGCUCAGGCCAGCAUCAGCUCGCUGUCGGGGACAAAAGCUUCAGGAACGUAGCUCUCUUCGGGGAGUGUUAUAGCCUGUUGCAUAAUACCCUUCGGCGGGCUGAGGUACGCGCUCCGCAAGGAUGCUGGCAUAAUGGUCAUCAGCGACCCGUCUUGAAACACGGACCAAGGAGUCAACCUUAUGUGCGAGUGUUCGGGUGUCAAACCCCUACGCGUAAUGAAAGUGAACGCAGGUGAGAGCUUCGGCGCAUCAUCGACCGAUCCUGAUGUUCUCGGAUGGAUUUGAGUAAGAGCAUAUAGGGUUGGACCCGAAAGAAGGUGAACUAUGCGUGUAUAGGGUGAAGCCAGAGGAAACUCUGGUGGAGGCUCGCAGCGGUUCUGACGUGCAAAUCGAUCGUCAAAUAUGCGCA